AGCGAACGCUGGCGGCAGGCCUAACACAUGCAAGUCGAACGAAGUCUUCGGACUUAGUGGCGGACGGGUGAGUAACACGUGGGAACGUGCCUUUAGGUUCAGAAUAACUCAGGGAAACUUGUGCUAAUACCGAAUGUGCCCUUCGGGGGAAAGAUUUAUCGCCUUUAGAGCGGCCCGCGUCUGAUUAGCUAGUUGGUGAGGUAAAGGCUCACCAAGGCGACGAUCAGUAGCUGGUCUGAGAGGAUGAUCAGCCACAUUGGGACUGAGACACGGCCCAAACUCCUACGGGAGGCAGCAGUGGGGAAUCUUGCGCAGUGGGCGAAAGCCUGACGCAGCCAUGCCGCGUGAAUGAUGAAGGUCUUAGGAUUGUAAAAUUCUUUCACCGGGGACGAUAAUGACGGUACCCGGAGAAGAAGCCCCGGCUAACUUCGUGCCAGCAGCCGCCGUAAGAC
rnacentral:rRNA from 1 species